UACGGGGGGGGCAAGCGUUGUUUGGAAUUACUGGGCGUAAAGGGCUCGUAGGUGGCCAACUAAGUCAGACGUGAAAUCCCUCAGCUUAACUGGGGAACUGCGUCUGAUACUGGAUGGCUUGAGUUUGGGAGAGGGAUGCGGAAUUCCAGGUGUAGCGGUGAAAUGCGUAGAUAUCUGGAGGAACACCGGUGGCGAAGGCGGCUUCCUGGCCGAGUACUGACGCUGAGGCACGAAAGCGUGGGGAGCGAACGGG
rnacentral:rRNA from 1 species